AGGAUCUCAUGGGGAUCUUGUUAAAAUGCAGUUGCUCAUGCAACAGGCCUGGGGUGAGGCCUGAUCCGUUGCAUUUCUAACAAGCUCCCAAGUAAAGCCAAC
rnacentral:pre_miRNA from 1 species